GACGAACGCUGGCGGCGUGCCUAAUACAUGCAAGUAGAACGAGUUGCGAACGGGUGAGUAACGCGUGGUAACCUGCCUCAUAGCGGGGGAUAACUAUUGGAAACGAUAGCUAAUACCGCAUACCAUCAGAUGUGCCCAGAUGGGAUUAGUGAGGUGGUGGGGGAAGGGCUCACCAAGGCGACGAUCCCUAGCUGGCCUGAGAGGAUGACCAGCCACACUGGAACUGAGGCACGGGCCAGACUCCUACGGGACGCAGCAGUGGGGAAUAUUGCACAAUGGGCGCAAGCCUGAUGCAGCCAUGCCGCGUGUAUGAAGAAGGCCUUCGGGUUGUAAAGUACUUUCAGCGGGGAGGCGUUACCCGCAGAAGAAGCACCGGCUAACUCCGUGCCAGCCGCCGCGGUAAUUC
rnacentral:rRNA from 1 species